GAGAUGUUGGGUUAAGUCCCGCAACGAGCGCAACCCUCGCCUUAGUUACCAUCAUUAAGUUGGGUACUCUAGGGGACUGCCGGUGACAAGCCGGAGGAAGGUGGGGAUGACGUCAAGUCAUCAUCCGGUUACGGGCUGGGCUACACACGUGCUACAAUGGCGGUGACAGUGGGCAGCGAUGGGGCGACCCUGAGCUAAUCUCCAAAAACCGUCUCAGUUCGGAUUGUUCUCUGCAACUCGAGAGCAUGAAGUCGGAAUCGCUAGUAAUCGCGUAUCAGCAUGACGCGGUGAAUACGUUCCCGGGCCUU
rnacentral:rRNA from 1 species